rnacentral:lncRNA from 1 species
GGUCCGCACCCCAGCAGCGGCCUCAAAAUGGCCACACGCGCACCCCCCUACAAAAAAACGUGAGCAUUCGUCCUUUUUCUAGCGGGGAAGCUGCCUGCCUCCUCCACCAAAUCCCGCGUCCUUUUCCUCCCUCUCCCCGCACCCGCUAGGGACGCCACGCUCCUCUCCUCGGCUCCUUUCGAUGGGGGGCAUUUUCUACCGACACCUCCGCCCUCGGCGCCGCGGCCCCUCCUGCCUCGGAGACUCUCUUCCUUCCUUCCCCUUUUUCCUUACGCAAUAUACAGAAAUGCGCGAGGCGGUGGUUGGUUUUCAUUUCUUCUUGGUGGUUGUGUUCGUGCGGUGGGAUUGUGAGAGUGCGCGCUCGCGCGUGUGUGUGUGUGUGUGUGUGUGUGUGUGUGUGUGUGAGAGAGAGAGAGAGAGAGAGAGAGAGAGCCGUGAGCAAGGCCAACUGAGCCCGAGUGUGGUCUUUUUGGCGAUUGGUUGCAUGUCCGAGUGUGAUGGUGCCUGCGCUGUUUGGACCGCCCAGGACCACACCGCAGCCUAACUGCUGGCCUCUCCGCUAGAGAGGCUCAGAAAGCAGAGACCCGGAGCACAGCUUCGACCUCUCCUUGUCGGAAGAGUGGAGGUCCUAUUCCAAGGGGCCGGUCUCUCUAAAUAUGCCCGAGGUGAGUAUUUGAAGGGUGGUGGUGGUAGUGAUGUAGUAGAAAGAAUGUCCAGGAAGUCCUUGGGGUUCCCGCCUGGGGUGGGGGUGGAGUUGGGGGGGACCCAAUCUCAGACUGAGGCUAGGGGAGGAGAAGACCAUCAAGGGUUGCCAGUCCAGCAUCUGACUGCCCUUAGCUGCCUAAGGCCUCCAACUGGGCCCUUUCCUUUUUCCGGCCUCCGGUGAAACCAGAUGGUUGGACUAUGGUAGGUCCUCCUGGUCCCCCAACCCCCAAUGGGAUCUGUGGACGUUUCUCAAGGCCGGUAACUUUGUUGUGACUGCAUCCGGGUACUGCAUGCUGCUUGGAGUUCAGCAGGAAGAAGGCCGAGGUCAUCCCGGCCAGCACAAAGCCUUUGGUUGGGGUGGGCCUGAGGCCUAGGGCGAGCUGCGCUGAAACACCUCUCUGUUCUCCGAGCUCGGAUAGCGCCCAGAUCAUUAGGGGUUGGUUUGGUGCAAUUUUGGGGCUCCCCCUGGGUAUCCUGUGGUAUGAGUGGCACAAGAGGGACCCAAGGCCAGGUCUAAAGCAGUGGCUCAGACACUAUUUCAUCUAAGAAAUUCUCUGUGCUUUGGGGAUUGAGAGCUGCUGCAGACCCUUGUUGCCUGGCCCCAGCAAGGCACUCCUGGUCUCCCCCUUCAGCACACACUGAAACAUUCUAGCCCACUGGCAACUGGGGGGUAUCAGGGCAGCAAGCUGGAUCUCUGCUGCAUAAAGAGAGGAAUUACAGCUCUAAAUAUUCUAGUCUAAAGUCAUUCAGUCCUAAAACCACCCCCCUUCUCCAUCCUCCUCCAAUAAAAUAAAUACAGCAGAUACAACUACUCAGGCUUUCCUUUCAGUAAACUUAACUGAGGUCAAGAAACGCAGUUUAGUCUCUGACAACCACAGGUGCUUGUGAGUCCUCUGGUGGCUUCCUCCUGGCAUAGACUACUGGCCUGGUAAAUCCUAGGCUAAGAAGAGCUGGCUGGAUUUUCCUAAGGUGGGACAAAAGAAGUCUACCAUAGACUGUCAGGAGGGCCAAGCUGUAUUCCUCACAAGAAGCCUUGGAGAUAAGGCUAUUUAUCGAUGUCCGGAGAGGGAAUUUUGGGCCAGAUCAAUUCACCUGGAAUAUGUGAUCCCUUUGCCCCUUGGGAACCUGCCUGUGCUGUUGGGGUGGAAUUAAUCAGAAGGUAUAAAUGUGCCAUAGUGGAGCUUGAGCUCAGCUGGGAUUGCAGUGCACAUUGUUUGUCACUCACAUAGAACGGUAGGCUGAGGCACCUGUGCUUGACUGGAUGGUGCUGGUGGUAAUAGAGAAGUAGAGAGCCAGAACCUCCCUUGUGUCUUUCUCCAGAACCUGAUAUAUUUUGGGUGCGUUUCAUCAGCUGAAGGGAAACUAAGAUUGCUCAUAUACUUUCUAUUCAUUUCCAGUGGCCUGGGUGUCUUGGCUGUGGUAUUCUGUGGAUAUAGAACUUUUGUCUCUGCUGUAAUUGUAAACUUGGUUUCAACCGUUUCUGCAGCUUGUGCACACCAAGUUUUAGAAAAUGUUGUCAUUUCCAGACAGUGUGGGACUGUGGGACCCAGAACAGCGUGCAGUCUGAAUCUGUAUUCUCUGUAGGCUGCAGGGGUUGGUGGCAAUUGAGCCAAGUUCUGUAGGUAGAGGACUGUAGUCUCACUUCUGGGGUGAAAGGCAGGGUUCCAAGAUGGACUCUGGUCCAGAGCAUUGCUGUGGUCGAAUAGGAGCUUGCUGGCUGUGAUGAAUUAAUUAGAUGACUUACCUUGAAGCUUUAUUGCACCUUUGGUAAUCUGUUCCACUUUAAAAAUACCCCAGUUAUAUAAUUCUGAGAAUUGAACCCUAUUUAAUAGUAAUUUAUAAAGCUUAUUGAAUUCAUUUUUUUAUUAUUAAAACAACUCACAAGCUUCCUCAAACUCUGAAUCCUAGGUCUCCUGGACCAUGCUGUAGCAGCUGGUGGAGGGUGGUUGGUUCCAUGUGGAUGAAGCCAGGUGGUGGGAGAACUCUAGCUUGCUUGUGGGAAGCAGAGUGGUCUUCGUGGAAUAUGGUUGUGGGGAAAGAGGGAGUUUCUAGCAUAUAUAUUCCAGCGUAUAUAUGAGAAUAGCGCAGUUAAAGUGGGAUCAGAGUCCCAUAAACCAAGGUGUGUGUGGGGGUGGAGGGCUGGAAGAGUUCAGGGCCUCAUUGAAACCUCCUCCUGAUUUUGGAAGAGAGGCCAGACCCCAUGUCCUCAGAAGCGCUCUGAACUGCCUUAGCCAGGCCUUCCUUGCAGUGACCACACUUCUCUGAGUCCAGCCAAGGAAAAUUCUGUGGAGUCGGGGUGGUGGUGCCAGGAUCAGCGUCUUUCCUUAGUAAUCGCUCCUCUACCUGAGAAAUAAAACAGCACCUCGCAGAAUAAAUACAAGGUGGAUGUGCUCAGCACCGUUAGACAGUCAGACAUCCUUCAGAGCUGGUGAAUUUGUGUGUAUGGGGCGGGUGGAGCUGGUUCCUCUGGAUUAUUUUCUGCCAGCUCCAGAGGAGUGGACCCAAGUCCCUGUAGCUUGCAUUCCUUACUUCCACCUCCACCAGGUUUCUGGGUGAUGUGUGUGGGGUGUACGUGCGGGGCUGUAAGGUGGGGGGUGUUGCUAAGAGGUGGAAACCACCCCACCCCUUUCUGACAGAUUCCCCGCCAAAAGCAAAAGCAGGAGGGUGGGGGCGGGAAGAGAACGGUCGGGGGUUGUUCCCUCCUCUUCCCUUGUGGCUAAGGGGGUCGGGGCAACUUUCUUUCUCCUCUUUGCAUUUCCUUCCUCCUUUUAUUCCCUUUGGUUUUUCUAUCGCGGGCAGUAUUCCUUUUCUUCCGAUGUUUCUGCUGUCUUUCUCUUUGUCUUUCCUUUUGGCGCUCAGUCUCUGUGCUCCAGAGACGGCACCCCCUUUCCCCAGUCCGCAGAGACCCCCUUUCCCUCCGGCUAGGGGGCAGCCGGUCUUCAGGCCCCGAGGGCCGAGCUUUGUGUCCACGUGGCGCUAAGUUUCUCCGCCUCAGCGCGUGAGUCCCUCCGCAGUGGCCGGGGCGGCUGUCGGAGCUGGCGUCCGCUUGUCUGUCCGUCUGCCCGCAGGAUGACCGAGAGGCCGCCCAGCGAGGCGGCACGCAGUGACCCCCAGCUAGAGGGACGGGACGCG